UAUCUAUCUUAAUCUACACACAUCGAUCUAUACAUACAAAUUUCUGUAUGUAUAUAAUCUCAGUUGCUUGAGAAAUUUGUGUUGCGGCGUUCUCUAAUUCGCUUGGUGCAGGUCGGGACCAUGUUACACACACCUAUACAUACAUAUAUUCGUGUAUACAUAUGUUUGUGUGGUCCCGUUUUGCAUCAAUUGAAUCGGAGAGCGCUGCGAGUCUGUGAAUCGGCGAGCCGUGAAGAUCAAUUUGUAUUUUUAAUGUAUUAGUUUUGAUGAUUAGUUGUUGAAAUUUGAUUUAAUUGUUUGUGAAUUGGUGUUAUUUGUGUAAUUGAUCUUUGUUUGGAUCUGCAUCAGCUGAUAGAGAUAUGUUUAUAAAUAUAGAUCUCGAUUAUGUUUGUUAAUGUUAAUUUGUUUGUUAUUAGGUGCUUUUGGAGAUGUAUGAUUGUUUCGUUUCGAUUUAGUUUGUUUGAACAAUUUAAGAUGGAUUUAGUUCAUAGUAUCUUCGCCUCUUCGGAAUAUAGUAGAGAUGUGCUAAGGUAUAAGAAAGCUAAUAGGAUUUCGCAUUGUAUUCUGUACUUUCGAGCUUGCUUGGUGUUUUGAUUUGAGAAAUUUGUGUGAAUUCAUUAUAGGGAUAAUAGGAAGUAGUUCAGAAUCUAUAAUAGGGAGCUGAUGGGAAAAAACAAAUAAAUAGAGACGGUCGCAGUGUGGUGUAGACUCGAUGCCUCUGGUCUUGUUUGGAAUGCAAUUGGUACUUGUAUAUGGAUUAAUUGUUUGUAACAUUUUAAGUUUAUGAAUAUGAUUGCUGGUUUUAGCUGCUAUUCUAUUUGAUCCAUUUCUGUGGUAAAUAUAUGAUGCUUGGUGUAAUUCAAGUGAUUUUUCUGAGGUGUUCUCCUGUUGGACCAUUAUUUUCUUUUUGGAAGUGAAAUACUACUUAAUUACCCUGUUAUUUCGCUGCUUCUGCUGCUAGAUUUGUUCAUAUUUGUUCUACUGUCAGUUGUUUCAGUAUCAUGUUUAAAUUUGUUUUGAAGCUUAGAUAAUAAAUUUACUAUUCAUUUUUUUUUCAGUCAAUUGCAAACUACAUUAAUAUGUCUCUCAUUGUCGUUUUUGACUUCUACUGGAGUGUUAAGAUAUAUAAGUUGGUGGCAGUAGAAAUUUGGUUAAUGAUUUUUAAAUUUAAAAGUCGUAUAGAUUUGCUCCAAAAUGACAAAAUUCUAGACUAGAUCACCAAUGACCUCAUCACCCGCUGUAAAUACACUAGCUACGCCCCUGCUAGUGGACAUGCUAUUUGCAUGUGAGACUAAUUAUAGAAAGGAUAGGUUACUAUUUAGUGUUUUUGUGUAGCUUCAAUCUGAUCUGCAGAAGUAUUCCGGCUAUCGAGUUGAAUAGUUUAAUCUUUAUUGACAAUAAGCAUGUAAAUGCUUCUACAAAUUAUAUGUAUGUCAAGUCAGUUCGGAUGAGAUAUGAGGUUCGUUAUCACACAUGUUAUGUGACUUGGAUGAGGUUUGAGGUUUCUAAAUUCCUCAACACAUGUUAUAUGCAGGUCAAGUACCAAGUACCCAAGUCAAUUUGGAUGAGGCUAAGCUGUGAAUGCCUUCACACAUGGGAGAUGACUUGAAUGUGGUAAAAGGUGUUAUGUCUUCCAUUUGGCAUUGAUAUUCAAGAUCAUAAAUUUCAGUCAACAGAGGACUGGCAUAAGUGUGUGAGGGUCAAGACCUUUGCAUAAAUCAAGAACCUUAAGCAGAGAUUUACGCGAUCUGUCAUGAAGAUGAUAUCAUUGCUGAAACCAAUUAUGCACUGUGCCCAUUCCCUUGCAAAAUAUUACAUAUGUGCGUAUGUUCAGGUCCUUGAUAUCGGAGCAAUACAUACUAUUUUAUCUGGACUCGGUUAAAAAUGUCUAACAUAGAUAUGUGUCUGAGUGUCGGACUUGGCAAUAUCCAGAAAAUUUUACAUGUUUUUGACCUAAAAUAAGUCUCGGAGUGUCCAUACUCAUAUCUGAGUGUCGAGUGUCCGACACGAAUCUUCGGGAUAAAAUGAAGAGUCGGGGUAACACAGAAUACACACACCUGGCAGGGUCCAGAAAACAGACUAUCUUGAUAACAGAGUGGAAGGUAACAUGGGGAGACCAUUCCGAAACUUGGUAUUCUCUUGACAUGAAAAAGACCAAGGAAAAGAAGCUACCCCCAUAAUAUUCUCAUUAUCAAGUGUGAAGCACACUACCAAAAGUGGGCUUUUUUGUUUUCUAGCAUAACGUCUAGUUUUUCAUUUAUAGGAGCCAGGGCCAGGCGCGCCGGGGACAAACCGCUCCAAUCAAAUUCACAACUAUGAUGGUAACGAUUUCUCGAAACCUGCGACCAUGAUACAAGUCUCCUCUUUUAACCAGCUGAACCAACCUCUGCGAACUAGAAUAUUGUAGUAAACUAUAUGUAUGCUUAUAAGUUAUAACUAUUUUA